AAGUCGUAACAAGGUCUCCGUUGGUGAACCAGCGGAGGGAUCAUUAGCGAGUUAAUUACAAGCUCCAAACCCAUGUGAACAUACCUACUGUUGCCUCGGCAGGCCGUGCUGCGCGGCUGGAUCGCCUCCCCCGCGUGGGCAGCUACCCUGGAGUAGCUACCCUGUAGCGGGAGCGGCCCGCCCCGCGGCGCGCCAACAGGCCUGCCGAAGGACCCCUAAACUCUGUUUCGCACCUGUAUCUCUGAGUUUAUUAUACAAAUAAGUUAAAACUUUCAACAACGGAUCUCUUGGUUCUG
rnacentral:misc_RNA from 1 species